UUAACCUAUAGUAGUAAGUAGUGCCAAAUUUUGUCUAGGGUCGUAGCCCCUUUUGGUCUGUGUUAUUUUGGUAGUUUUAGCCCCUCCCAAAAUAUAAGGUCUAGUUGCGCUUAUAGUCACGGUUCACUUUAUAGGCCCAAGUUUAUUAAUUACCCAAUACCAGUUUUGUUGUUUUGGACGGGAAGAAAUAAAAUGUAUAUAGUUACUGUGAUGGAUUUGAACUGAAAAACGGUUCUUGUUAUUAUCGACGACUGCUUGAUCACACACACACUCGUAUUCCGAAAAAUAAUAAUAAUAUAAUACGAAAUAUCCACAAAUACUGUUAUUCGUUUACUGUGCACAUACAAUAACAACUGAAAUUACAAAACUAAAUAUUAGCGACGACGACGUUGAAUGGCGUUUUCUUUGCUUUUUGGCCAAUCGAUACGAUAUGAUGGCACUAUACAUGUGUGUG